rnacentral:rRNA from 1 species
UACCAGCUCUUCGAGUGGUGUGGAUGUUUAUUGGGCCUAAAGCAUCCGUAGCUGGCUGGGCAAGUCCCCUGUUAAAUCCACCGAUUUAAUCGUUGGAGUGCGGGGGAUACUGUUCGGCUAGGGGACGGGAGAGGCAGACGGUAUUUUCGGGGUAGGGGUGAAAUCCUAUAAUCCCGAGAAGACCACCAGUGGCGAAGGCUGUCUGCUAGAGCGCGCCCGACGGUGAGGGAUGAAAGCUGGGGGAGCGAACCGGAUUAGAUACCCGGGUAGUCCCAGCUGUAAACGAUGCAGGCUAGGUGUUUGGGCGGCCACGUGCCGCUCUAGUGCCGCAGGGAAGCCGUUAAGCCUGCCGCCUGGGGAGUACGGCCGCAAGGCUGAAACUUAAAGGAAUUGGGCGGGGGAGCACCACGAAGGGGUGAAGCUUGCGGUUU